CCUACGGGGGGCAGCAGUGGGGAAUAUUGCGCAAUGGGCGAAAGCCUGACGCAGCGACGCCGCGUGAGGGAUGAAGGUCUUCGGAUCGUAAACCUCUGUCAGGAGGGAAGAAGUGGUUAUAUGCGAAUAGUGUAUGACUUUGACGGUACCUCCAAAGGAAGCACCGGCUAACUCCGUGCCAGCAGCCGCGGUAAUACGGAGGGUGCGAGCGUUAAUCGGAAUCACUGGGCGUAAAGCGCGCGUAGGCGGCUUUUCAAGUCAGGGGUGAAAUCCCACGGCCCAACCGUGGAACUGCCUUUGAAACU
rnacentral:rRNA from 1 species